rnacentral:tRNA from 4 species
CUAUUCAGGAUCAAUAGAACGAA